rfam:Streptococcus sp. DD12 genomic scaffold scaffold00001, whole genome shotgun sequence.
AAAUCCUUUAACUCUGUCCCGUGAGGCAGACAAGGAGACGGUCAAGAGGGGAGUUUGUGCUACCCUUAUUUGGGGAAUCUCCUUGGACAUGAGGAGAUUCUUUUUUGU